rnacentral:piRNA from 1 species
AGAAUUUCAGCUUUGGGUGCUGACGGUG